UAAACCGCGUCGAAACUGCAAAAGCUUGCACGCAACACAGUUAGUUGUGGUUGUUGUUGUUGCUGCGCAGAUGUGAAAACUUUCACUUUGACACACAACAGCGCAGUGAAAUUCCUUCCUGCCCCUCACUCGUUCUCACUCUGCUACAAAUUUCAUCAGUCCGCACUUUGUCCGGUUGCCCUGCGGCCAAAAGCGACCUUGCGAGCGAACUAACUCGGCUAUUCACAAAGUGACGAGCAAGCAACUGUCAGCCGAGAAGCAAGAAACAUCAGCCAACAGAAUUCCAGUGCAAAUACAAAAUGCGACUAAGUGACAACUGACCGAGUUUGAAAGUCGCGUUUGUUAACGGUAACAAGUUAAUUCGUGUUUUCAGAAAACUUCCUUCUUAGUGAAAUCGCCACAUUUCUAUUUGUCCUUUGUUUAAAAACAGCAAAAGAACUAUUCAACAAACCACAGCCAUCGUAGCUGAAAUGUAAAACAGCAAGAACGUUGACUCUCGUUGCACCAACGCUAUAAUACCUUUCACAAAAACAAAAUAUUCCGUCCAAGUACUAUGAUCAGCCGAUUUAUAUGGUAGCUACAUGCUACAGAGACUCGAUUCAUUUAGGGUGUGCGAAUUAUUUACUCGAAAUUAGUUGGAAGCUCUGUUGUCGCGCUUUAUGUGACUUCAAAAUCCCACAAAGUGAUGAUAGUGCCGCAGAGAGCUCUCAGAAGGGAGAAAAGCGUAGUUGCCAAAAAAUUAUGAUAAAUGUAACAUAAAUCCAGUUUAAGAACCUCAAGCAAAAUAUGUAUGCUUCAACUACAGGGAGAAGCAAAGAGAAGACACAUAGCGAAGAAAGAAGAAUGAAGGCAUUGAAAGGCUAUAAAGCCCUGCUGGCAGAUGAGAGCGCCAUAAAAUGCCAUCACUUCCGAUCAAUGUCAACGGUACAGAACGUUGACGGUGCAGAGCAUAACAAACGCUGGUGGUACGGCCAAGUGAUAAAACGUAAAAUGUUUCGAAAUUUAGGUGGCAGUAGACGUGCUUUGAAAAUAGUAUGUAAACCCUGCAACACAAAGACACACAUACACACACUAACGCUGCGUGAACACAGUACCCUUGACCCAAAGGAACAACAGCAACAAGUAAAAAAAGAAUUCAUUGCGAAUAUUUAAAUGUCCCUUACCCAAGUAUGCAGGCUGUUCUCUUUGUGCUCGGAAUGGGAGCAAGAGCGUAAGAGGAAAUGAAAGCGCACAGUUUCGCUGGUGAAGCCUCAAAGGAGUCGAUGAAUACUGCAAUAUGACGAUAGCAACUGAAGCGCAUAAAUAAUAACUUCAAAACUUACUAUUUAAUAGAUAGCUUCUUAAAACCAAUAUUCUAUAUUUAGUUAUCCUACAUCUGAAUUUAUAGCGAAAACGUUUUUCUUCAAACGCUAACAAAUUUCACAUUUGUGUGGUUUAUACAAAAGUAGCAUCACAUAUUCAAGGUGAACCAUUGCAAAAGCUGUAAUAUUUGCUAUGUAUUCACGUUUGUUGGAAAUCCCUUUAUUCCUUUACCACAGAUCAUUAUUUAUUUGAAAAAAAAAAAAACAAAAAUAACGAUACAUGUAUUCUAGUUUCGUCAUCAAAUAAUCAUUGCAACGUUUACUGAGGCCAAGUAAGAAACAAAAUAAUAUAAACAAAAUCACAUUGGAAAACUGGUAAACCACGAAGUAGUGAAACUCACCACACAUAAUCGUACGUGUAAACCUGUGGAAAAAAGGACAGAAAAACACACAAACACACAUUUUCAUUUUUCUCUUGUUUCUACCUGAAAAUACAACAAAUAAAAACACAGAAACUACAGCAAUGUAUGGUGGCAACACAACCUAACGCAACUCAUGCUAAGUGAUAAGAGACGCAACAGCAGGUGCUAAGUACACUAGCUUUAUCAGACUUUGGCAACAUGUUGCACGUGUAAUAAUGCCAAUAUGCGAAGACACUUAUAACACCAAAAUGAAAAAAAAACAAAAAAAAUGUACAUAUGUUUCUAUUAUAAAAUUCAGCAUUACUUUUCUUUUCUUUUUGUGAAAUUAUGCAAAUAGCACGGAGAUAGUACUUAAGGUACAUAAUAUAUUUUACCCAUAACCAAAAUUAUUUUAACCAAACGAUCCUGCAGUCGUCUUAGUUCAAAUACAUGAAAAUAUCCUAAACCCUCUUAUAGCAGAGAAUAAAUUAAAAUUAAAUUUGAAGGAAAAUAGAUUUUUGAUAACCCAAAAAAUAUCUCAAAUUAUACCUCAUAUAAACGUAACAAAAACAAUGACAUUAAAUAUUUCUUAAGCGACCAACCUUUGAACGUAUACGGAAGCUAAUCGCAGGCGUAAAUUUAUGCUCGCUCUUUAUUAUUGCAAAGUAAAUUGCUGUUAAUGGCAAUGAAGUGAUAAACGCUAACAAUCAUGUUGGGUCACACACACAUACAAUUAUAUAUAUAUUUACAAAAAUACAAACACAUGUCUGUCCCUUCAAAGUCCACCCCGUGCCGAAAAAAUAAUGUUAUAGGCAAAUGUUGCUUAUAUGCCCUAAUCCACCACCGAUAUAAAAAAUUAACAUAACAUUUUUAAGUGACAACUAAUAUGGCUGUUUAAAAUAAAACAUCUAAGCUUCGAUUGGCCUAUUGUGGUCAAAAUACUAUUAGUACAGGUUUUCAUAACUAACUCGAUGAAACCUUGUAAUCUAAUUCGCUUCGAAAUCAUUUACCUUUUCUCACUUUUGAAAUCACGCAGGCAGACGAAAAAGCAAACGAUUGUAGGCCAGGGUAACUCCUUAACUUAGCUAUGUCAUCCCAUUACAUACCUAAUGUCGACGUCUUGACCUCAAACGCUCAGGCACUUUGGAUGCUAAUGUGGCUGAGAUAAAGGAUAGCAACUAUACCAUAAUGGCAGCAACCUGAUUUACAUCUCAUAGCACAAAAGCAAUAAAUACUAUUUGGGUUUCGACAUCUGGCCACUGUCGCGGAUAGACAAGCUAAUAUGUGAUGCGUUAAGAUGAGAACUGUAAGGUCGGAGUCCACAUCUUUGAAAAUCUACACCAGUAUUUGAUAUUGACGAAUAAUGUGCUACAUUUUAGCGUAGCCUGGGUUGAACGGAAAUGGGAAUAGUUUUAUUAAUUGUACUUUUAAUAAAUAUCUCAAGUUUCAAUAAUAAUAUAAGCACAAUAUGUAA